rnacentral:ncRNA from 2 species
UACGAAGGGGGCGAGCGUUGUUCGGAAUCACUGGGCUUAAAGAGUGCGUAGGUGGAUUUGCAAGUCAGGAGUGAAAUCCCGGGGCUCAACCCCGGAACUGCUUUUGAAACUGCAAAUCUGGAGUCCCGGAGAGGUUAGGAGAAUUCCGAGUGUAGAGGUGAAAUUCGCAGAUAUUCGGAGGAAUACCAGUGGCGCAGGCGCCUAACUGGACGGGAACUGACACUGAGGCACGAAAGCGUGGGGAUCAAACAGG